rnacentral:rRNA from 1 species
AGAGUUUGAUCCUGGCUCAGAUUGAACGCUGGCGGCAUGCCUUACACAUGCAAGUCGAACGGCAGCACGGAGCUUGCUCUGGUGGCGAGUGGCGAACGGGUGAGUAAUAUAUCGGAACGUACCCUGGAGUGGGGGAUAACGUAGCGAAAGUUACGCUAAUACCGCAUACGAUCUAAGGAUGAAAGUGGGGGAUCGCAAGACCUCAUGCUCGUGGAGCGGCCGAUAUCUGAUUAGCUAGUUGGUGGGGUAAAGGCUCACCAAGGCAUCGAUCAGUAGCUGGUCUGAGAGGACGACCAGCCACACUGGAACUGAGACACGGUCCAGACUCCUACGGGAGGCAGCAGUGGGGAAUUUUGGACAAUGGGCGCAAGCCUGAUCCAGCAAUGCCGCGUGAGUGAAGAAGGCCUUCGGGUUGUAAAGCUCUUUUGUCAGGGAAGAAAAGGCUGUGGCUAAUAUCUGCGGCUCAUGACGGUACCUGAAGAAUAAGCACCGGCUAACUACGUGCCAGCAGCCGCGGUAAUACGUAGGGUGCAAGCGUUAAUCGGAAUUACUGGGCGUAAAGCGUGCGCAGGCGGUUUUGUAAGUCUGUUGUGAAAUCCCCGGGCUCAACCUGGGAAUGGCAAUGGAGACUGCAAGGCUAGAGUUUGGCAGAGGGGGGUAGAAUUCCACGUGUAGCAGUGAAAUGCGUAGAUAUGUGGAGGAACACCGAUGGCGAAGGCAGCCCCCUGGGUCAAAACUGACGCUCAUGCACGAAAGCGUGGGGAGCAAACAGGAUUAGAUACCCUGGUAGUCCACGCCCUAAACGAUGUCUACUAGUUGUCGGGUCUUAAUUGACUUGGUAACGCAGCUAACGCGUGAAGUAGACCGCCUGGGGAGUACGGUCGCAAGAUUAAAACUCAAAGGAAUUGACGGGGACCCGCACAAGCGGUGGAUGAUGUGGAUUAAUUCGAUGCAACGCGAAAAACCUUACCUACCCUUGACAUGGUCGGAAUCCCGAAGAGAUUUGGGAGUGCUCGAAAGAGAACCGACACACAGGUGCUGCAUGGCUGUCGUCAGCUCGUGUCGUGAGAUGUUGGGUUAAGUCCCGCAACG